AAAAACUCACCCACCUUGUUCAAUGAGGCACUUCAUGAGGAUCUGGAUCCGAGGUAACCUACUUGGGAUAUCUGUUAAGAGAAGGCCAACGAUGGCUCACGGAUGCACGGAAGGAAACCGUCCUCCGCAUCCCCCGACCCACAACGUGAAGGCAGGUAAGAGAAUUCCUGGGAUCGGCCGGGUUCUGCCACUUGUGGAUACCUCGGUUCGCCGAGAUGGUUAAGCCUCUUUACCUGGUCACCCGAGAACAGGUGCCUUUUGAAUGGACAGAGGAAACUGAGCAGGCUUUCCAGCAAAUUAAACUCGCCCUGUUGUCGGCACCAGCCUUAGGGCUCCCUGAUGUCUCCAAACCCUUUCAUCUCUUCGUAGAUGAAAAUAAAGGGGUAGCCAAAGCAGUGCUGACGCAACUCCUUGGCCCAUGGCCCAGGCCCGUUGCCUAUCUUUCAAAACGACUGGACCCAGUGGCGGCUGGCUGGCCCCCUUGCCUCUGUAUGAUCGCUGCUACAGCUCUAAUGGUAAAGGAUGCUGAUAAGUUAACUAUGGGACAAGAGUUACAUGUUACAACCCCUCAUGCCAUCGAGGGAGUCCUCAAACAACUUCCUGAUCGAUGAAUAAGUAACGCCCGACUGGUUCACUACCAGGGACUAUUAUUAAAUCCUCUCAGAAUCAUUUAUGCUCCCCCCCGAACACUAAACCCUGCCUCCCUAUUACCAGACCCGGACUUGGAUACCCCCCUCCAUGACUGCGCUGAGAUACUGGCACAGGUUCAUGGAGUUCGGGAAGAUUUACAGGAUCACCCGCUACCAGAUGCUGAAGUUACCUGGUUCACUGACGGCAGCAGCUUUGUACAUCAGGGUCAAAGGUAUGCGGGGGCAGCAGUCACAACUGAAACUGAGACUGUUUGGGCAGAGCCUUUGCCAGCUGGCACCUCUGCCCAACGGGCUGAACUUGUGGCCUUAACCAAGGCACUGACUUUGGGAAAAGACAA